rnacentral:rRNA from 1 species
GACGAACGCUGGCGGCGUGCCUAAUACAUGCAAGUCGAGCGGACGUUUUUGAAGCUUGCUUCAAAAACGUUAGCGGCGGACGGGUGAGUAACACGUGGGCAACCUGCCUUAUCGACUGGGAUAACUCCGGGAAACCGGGGCUAAUACCGGAUAACAUCUAGCACCUCCUGGUGCCAGAUUAAAAGAGGGCCUUCGGGUUCUCACGGUGAGAUGGGCCCGCGGCGCAUUAGCUAGUUGGAGAGGUAAUGGCUCCCCAAGGCGACGAUGCGUAGCCGACCUGAGAGGGGGAUCGGCCACACUGGGACUGAGACACGGCCCAGACUCCUACGGGAGGCAGCAGUAGGGAAUCUUCCGCAAUGGACGAAAGUCUGACGGAGCAACGCCGCGUGAGUGACGAAGGGUUUCGGCUCGUAAAGCUCUGUUAUGAGGGAAGAACACGUACCGUUCGAAUAGGGCGGUACCUUGACGGUACCUCAUCAGAAAGCCACGGCUAACUACGUGCCAGCCGCCGCCGUAA